rnacentral:miRNA from 1 species
CUCGGCUCGAAUUAAUUUCAACC